rnacentral:lncRNA from 1 species
GCUGCCCUCCAGCCUCUGGUGAAGCUCAAGAUCGUCAAAUAGAGGACCAAAAAGUUCAUCAGGCACCAGCCAGAUCGAUAAGUGAAAAUUAAGUGAAACUGGCAGAAAUCCAGAGACAACAGGGUACGGAGAAGACUCAAAGGCCAGAUCCUGAUGCCCAACAUCAGUUACGGGAGCAACAAAACAAAUAAGCACUUGCUGCCUGGCUGCUCCACAAGUUUCUGGUCCAAUAUGUCAAAGGGCUGGAGUUUGCUGCUGAUGUAACAAACCUACUCUGCUGAGAUUGCUCACAGUGUGUCCUCUAAGAACCGAGAAGCCAUUGUAGGAAAAGUAGUACAGCUGGCCAUCAGAGUCACCAGUCCCAACGCCAGGCUACACAUCAAAGAAAAUGAGUAG